CGCGCACACACACCGCGGGGAGUCCAAACCUCGCUGGCUCCACUAGCUGGCUGGACCCGCCCGCUCAGCGCCUUGCGCGCCCUUGGCCCGCCAGAAGGCCCCGGCGUCAGAGGGCUCCGGCGCCUGCCUCCGCCGUGCGUACUCGGGGUGGCCCUGGCCCCAGAAGGGCCGUCAGCUGAAUUUUCCUGGACUAGGUGAGCGCCUUCCGAAAUCCGCCAGGCGGGAUCCUUUUUAGGGCCGAGAAAAAGUUGCAAGUAGCAGCCCAAUUCCCUGCUGCCUCUUUCUUCAGUAAAGCUAGCACCUUCAGGGCCCAGACAUUUGCCCACCUUCCCUCUCCUCUUCUGGAGAUAAUUUGGCCAAGUCACUUCCCUAUGCACAGCUGCGGUUUCCCGCUCGGGUUCACUGUUUAUUUGGAAUUUCUUUAAAACCAGCGGCGCCAAAUUGCCCUCGCUCUGCGUCUUCUCUGGGCGGGCCUCCGCCCAGGCCUUUCGGAGCUUCCAGAAGGGCGCAGUCGGGCAAGGAAGGCGCGCGCGAGAGGCCUGGGCCUAGCUGGGACGCGUCCUUCGAUCCUUCGCUCGAUUUCCCACGCCUGGUUCCCCCCACUGAUUGAGCUCCGGCCUUCACCGCGGGCCACCUCACUUCGGGCUCCGACCCAGUGGCGUCUCAUUAGGCGGAAGCCAGGGGGAAUCGGGAUGUAGAUCCCCCGGAGAGGACGUCUGGACCCAUUUCCACCCUCAUCAGACCUCGAGUUCCUUAUCUAUUGUCUGAAAUGCCCUCACAGGCCCGAGCUCAUUGGCGGGAAACAUCCUUCCCAGAACCUGAACUCUCUCUCCCAACGGUCCAUGACUGCGGCCACGGUGGAUGCGGGUCUGUUGGCCUCUUUCAUCCCUUGGAGCUCGCCUUGCAAUUUGCAGCUGCGGCAGCUGCUCGGCAGAGGACAGGAUGGUUUUGAACAACUCGGUGGUGUUGAUGAUGGACAGCUAUCUCUGUAUAAGGAGGCUUUGGCUGUGGGCCUGGCAAAAUGAUGGUCAACCCAUUCAUUCAACAGAUGUUUGCAGAGCACCUGCUAUGCUCCAGAAUGUGGGCCUGAAUGAGACGGGCAAGACCUCUGCCAACAUAGACCUUACAGCCUCGUCGGAGAGACAACCAAUGAACAGGUAAACACAAAGAUAAGCAUUUCCCAGAAUGUUUACAUUCGAAGGUCAGUGGUGGCAGCUGAAUUUUAUAU
rnacentral:lncRNA from 1 species